rnacentral:lncRNA from 1 species
UAAGCCACGGGGUGUGGGGCUAGGGCUAAGAAAUUUGGAGCAACUCUUGAAAUGUCGUACUGUAUUUCCCUUAAUUUCUCCAUGUACCUUUGACAGUUUGUGCACUCUGUCCCAUCUGCUAGCUAGUCCUGGCACCAAGCAAGCCCGAAUUUCGUUAGAAUUUCGGCUGUAAUGUUUGUUCCCUUUGCUCUAUGUGUUCUAUUUAUGGCACUAUGCUCACGAGUUUGAGACCUCGAAUCCUCUAUGACCACAUGGAUGUCUAGAUGAGGAUAGAGUUGCUGGAGUAGUGUUUGAUAGGUUCUAUGGAUCGGAUAGGCUAGGAUUACGGCAACAGUGGUGGUAGGUAUUACCUUCUUGUGGCUCGAGGAGCUCCCGGUGCCGGCCAUGAUGACGGUGGCCGGUGAUGGCAGAGUAGGCAGAGUAGGGGUGGCGGUGCUUCCCGUCAGCACUGUAGGUAGGGUGUACGGCGUUGCGACGAACCUCGUGAGUCGAGCCGCCGGCCCCCACCUCUUUAUAUAGUGCAGGUGACAGGGGCCGUCAAUCAUAGUCGGUUGAGCGCCCCUGAUUAGGGCGCAGAUCUAAGGGCCCGGUGGGCCGUUGGGCCCACACGGUGGAGAUCAUCCUAACGUUUUCCUCCUUGAUCUCAACUUUUACUUUUGACCUUAUACUUUUACUUUACUCGUUUCAUAACAGAUCAAUACAUAGAACAUGUUUCAGAUCAAUACAUAGAACAUGUUUAAUUGCUGAUAAAAUCAGACAGCCACAACGUACCUCUUUGUUUUGAAACAAAUUCUUUAACCUUGGCCCUUUUUAUUGUCCGGAAAUAUUAGAAUAAAACCCAUGACUGUGUGUUCUUCGAACCCACUGGCGGUAAGCCUUUAAUAAGCAGAUCUGCAAACACUUGUGUGUUGUUUUUAUGCUUCAAGCAUUUCUACAUAAUUCCGGACUUUCUCCUUUACAACGCAUAACUCUGUGUCAGUGUGUUUGGCAUCAACACUUGACUCGUUGUUCUAGGAGCGAAAAACUUAAAAUGGUUAUCGCUGUUGUCAACCAUUACUAACUCCGGGUACAGGUCUCCUUAACCAUUUUGCCCGUCCCUCAGCCUCAUAUCAAGCUAUAAAAUAUCUUUGCAUCACAUUGAUGAUAAUUGUUUCAUUCUUUGAAGCUUUUCACACAAAAACCUUCAAAUAUAAAAGUUAGCGACAAUUGUGGAUUUCGCUAUACAUUUCACAUGUCCUGUCUUUGUACUCACAAUUUUUUGAGAGCACUUAUUUCUUUUAGCAUGAGGCCGAUAUCUUUGACUCCAUUCCAGUGAUCUAUAUAUGUACUGGACAUUGCCAAAACAACCCGGAUACGUGAAUUGUGUCAGGGUAAUAUAUUGAGCUUCCAACAGCUGAAGCAUAUGGUACCAUAUCCGUUUUCAAUCUUUUCUCAUCAACUUUUGAAACACCAUAGUUUCCAGUUCCAUUACCCUUGACUAUAAGAACAGGCGUAGGUUUUCUCGCAUGCAUACUUUAGAGACCUUUGUUAGCAUGUCCAUGCGACAUUCCUAAUGCCCCAUUUUAUUAUUUUCUUGGUGAAUCUCGAUAUUUAUAACAAGAGACACUCCAAGAAAUGCAAUUUUGAACUUUGAGGACAAGAACUUCUUUUCUCCUCCUGAAGUAGAUUAACAUCACCAUUAGCAAGUAGGACGUCAUCCACAUGCACAGGAUUGGGAAAUGAAUUCCCCAUUCUAUAACUUUGCAUGAAUACAAUUGUCCUUCCAUUUUCUUUAACCCAAAAUAUCAUCUGAUUCUUUAAACUUUAAAUGCAACUGUCUAGAGACUUGCUCUAGUCCAUAAAAAACUUCUUGAAGCAGUAUCCCUUGUGUUCUUUACAUUCAUCUGAUGUAACUCAGAUCAUGAUGUCGGUCAUGAUGUGCCACUGACACUCGUUGUAAUUUGUUCAUUCUCUUUGCACAAAAUCUUUCGAUUCAAGUCGCGCUUUACACCUUUACAUAUUUCCUUUGGAGUCACAUUGACCUUGUAGACCUUUUACAGCCUACUGUUUAUGCUCCAUUGGAAAUUACUUAUGAGUCCCAAACAUUGUCGGGAUUCACCAAUUUUAUUUCAUCUCACAUAGUCUCUUAUCAUUUAGACAAACAGACACUUCUCUAAGCUCGAUUGAGCACUUUAAAUGAGGUGAGAUCAACCUCGAUUUGAAUUUCACUAACAUAGACUUUAUAGUAAUCAGAAGUAUCUGAUUUUCUCAUUCCUUGAGACCAUCUGUGUCUCAGGUACUGGCACUUCUUUCAUAUGGGGCUGUUGUUGCUCUGUCAUUGCCAAGAGGCAAAUUAAUUCUAUGGUCUUUUAUUUCGAAGAGGCAAUAGGUUUUACAGGGACCUGUGUCACAAGAUCCAUGUGUACUCAUUCAUCCUUUAUAGAGCUAACAUCAGGUGUUGUUUAGGUCAUACAACAUGCUCCCCGAGAUUACUCCAUCUUCACUAAAAAUAGCGUAUCUUUAAACUUUAUUAUUUGGGUUUAUUCUAUUAAAACUUUCUUCUUUAUGGCACUUUAAGCACCGUCUUAGUAUUCCUUAGUCUGCUUUUGGAACUGUAAAAGAUCCGGGAAUACAGCUAUUUCUUUUCUUUAGGGGUAUUAUUAUUAUCGUCGUACUCCCCAAGACGAUCACAUUCUUCAUUAAUGGAUAUCUCAUAUUUCUUUCUCCCCCUCGAAAUGUGGUAAGAAAUUUUCUGCCACAAUUUCGAAAAACCAUUCACAACUCUUGUGAAUUGAGGAAACUUUGAUUAUCUACUUCAUUUAUCUGAUUACUUCAUACGUAAUGAAGUUAUCUGUUAACUGGUAUGGGAGUACUUUUUCCUCAUUCCAUUUCAGAAACUCAACAGAGUUCUUUAUCAUUAGUACUUUUGCAAGUCACACUUGCAUAUGAUUCUUAUCUUUAGUUUCGUCUGUAACUUUUAUUCUCUUCGGAUUUAUUGAGUGCUUAAUGACCGUUACACAUAAGAUGUACGGUUGAUACUAGGAAAGCAUAAUAGCUACUCCAUACUUUUCUCCCAGAGUGGGACACAUUAAAAGCACAUGAGUCAUCAUGUCUUUCUCCUGUCAUACAAGAUAAGUCUGAGAAAAUUUCUGCCGCCAUACGGGUUACGCAGGGAUUUUCCCAGACUUUUCCUGCCAUGCGGGUUUUAUCAUAAUCAUCUUUUCCCACCAUAUGGGUAAUUCCUUGUAAGGGACAAAAAUGCCAGAAUUGGCUCUUUUGACUGCAUAUUCAAUCAUCAAAAUUAUAAAUAAAUCCGAAUGCUCUUUGACACACAUGCUUGAUCCGACGUUGGUCAAAUUAAACACGCAUGUUGCUUGUUUUAUCUCAAAUCAUAGAGAGUAUAUGAAAGACAUUCGUCAACCAAGACUCUCAAUGAUCUAACUCUUUUCUUUUGAAACCAUUCUUUAGAGAGAACAUACUAUCUCACGUUAUGACCUUUCUUGGUCAUCUUUCGGGUCACAAGUACCCAACCAUUCGCUUUCAUGAAUGAAAGCAUGGAAAACUUUUAGUCUGAGAAAACUUAGCCAAUAAUCAACAAUAAUGAGCAUAAAAAUAACCCUACGUUGGUCUGGUUAAAAAAAUAUGCACAUUAAGCUUUUGCAAAACUUCCUUUUUAUACUCUAAAUCAUCGUUGUGGUAGAAUUAGAAUAAAACUCAUUCUUCUACAUUAAUUCCGUAUCACCGUUGGGUGGAAAUGGAAAUAAUCCAUAUAACUCAUAAACAAUGUGAUGAUAGUAUUUCUAUUAAACAACUUUGCUCAGAAAUAAUAAUCAUCAUCAACUUUAUUGCAGCGGAAAUAAGAAAUAUACAUUUCUCUAGUUCAAGAGCAUUUCUUUAUCUUUAACUGUUCUCUGAAAAUUGAUCACUUUGAUACAAAAUUUAUCAGAGAUUUAAGCUUUGAACAUAAGACUCAUAGAAUUAUAGUACUGUUAUCAUCAACGUUAGUUAGAAAAUAACAUUACCAUAUUUUAACUUUAAAACAAAUAUCUUUCUUUUGUCAUAGCGGAAGCUAUCUGAAUCUGAUUCAUCCACAGGGGAAAACAUUGCUAAGAACAGUUUUUCCAAUUAAAUUUUUCCGUUGGUUCCAAUUUAAUUGGAGGAUAAAACUUUUUCUUUGCAGAAGAAACUUUCAAUAUUCUAUGCAGAAACAAUUCUGUACUCUUUUACUCUCUAAGCAAUUUUAACCGGUUGGUUCAAAAAAGCAUUAGAGAAGCAACAAUUUAAUCUUUUAUUUUAGUUCUAUUCACUUUUAAAGGAGCACUUUUAUUUUUAUAUGAAGCAGAAAAAACAUGAAUAGAAAAUUCAUGAACCUAUUAUUCUUUACAGAAAAAUUUUCCUUUUCUUUAAAAAAAACACUUUUAUUGUUUACAUAAACUUUUCUUUUUGCCAACUAAAUUCAUGAACUUUAUUAUUUUCUUUUAUUAAAAUUCAUGAACGUUUAUUUUUCUGAAAAAAAUUUAUUUUCAUUUUCAGAAACUGUUCUACUUUUUUCUUUUAUAUAUUUUCUAAACAGAAUUUUCGUUGGAAAUUUUUUUUGAGUAGAAAAAGGAAACUGUAUAAAAUGGACUGGCCCUGCCUCGGCCCAGCGCGCAAGGCUGCUGGCCUCGGUGCAGCGCGCUGCUACGGCCACGGCACAGCACGCAGCUGCAGCCACGCCCAGCGCUCAAGGCCCGCAGCGGAGGAAGCGGCCCAUGGCCUGCUCCCCGCGCCACGCCGGGCGAGGCGGCCUUCCUCGGCCUAGCCCGCGAUCACUUUCGGCCCAAAAGGCCAGUGGGGAGGCUAGGGUUUUAAUCCAAACCGUUCAACGCGAUCGGACGGUGGACCGCCGUUCUCGCUCGAACAAAAACAGGACAGAGUCCCAGACCCGAAACCUAGCGCCCCCAUUCUUUUCUCUGUUCGAUCUCUCUCUCUCCCUCAGACGGCGGAAAAAAGGGGCUGCGCCCCGGCCGUCCGGCCCGGCCGCCGGCGGCGGCGCAAAACCACCGCGCCGCGCCGCGCCUCUCUUCCAUUGCCCCUACUUUGAUAGAGAGAGAGGCGCCGGUGGAGGAGCUUCGCCUAGGCCGCCAGCAACAGCAUCAAAACCACCAUGCCGCGCGAGCCUGGGCUCCUCCCAUCUCUUCUUCCCCUUCCUUGUUUCUCUGUUUCUCCACCACCCGCAUCUCCUCUCUAUGUCACCGAGGACAACGACGACAUGAAGCAGCGGUGCCCCUUCUGUCCCCCUUGCCGGUGUGCGCGAGCUCCCGUGGGAGAGCGCGCCGCCGUCAAGCGGUGCGGUGGUGGUGCCCUUUUGCCCCCUUGGGGAGGCCGUGUUCUUCUUCCCCGCAGCUUGGCUUGCCGAUGCGUGUGGGGAUCGAGAGGAACGGCACGGCCUUGCGGCGGCGCACUUUGCCGGCGAUCACGAGGCCCUCUCCGGUGAUUUCUUUGCCCUGUAACUUCAGGGUUCUUGUGGGAGCGGAAAGUUCUUUGAUUUGCACCGAAAUCCUCAACCGAAACAUGGCUGAUACCAUUGAUAGGUUCUGUGGAUCGGUUAGGCUAGGAUUCCGGCAACAGUGGUGGUAGGUAUUACCUUCUUGUUGUGGCUCAAGGAGCUCCCGGUGCCGGCCAUGAUGACGGUGGCCGGUGAUGGCAGAGUAGCGGUGGCAGUGCUUCCCGUCAGCAUUGCACUAACCCUAGAUCGGUAGGGGAUUAGGUAGGGUGUACGGCGUUGCGACGAACCUCGUGAGUCAAGCCGCCGGCCCCCACCUCUUUAUAUAGUGCAGGUGACAGGGGCCCGUCAACCAUAGUCGGUUGAGCGCCCCCGAUCAGGGCGCAGAUCUAAGGGCCCGGUGGGCCGUUGGGCCCACACAGUGGAGAUCAUCCUAACAGUGUUCUGCCGUGAGAUGCAAUGUUGUGUCUGAGAAGCCUGCAUGAGCAAGGGCACGCUAUGUUGCGGAGCAGAGUUUAUGCAAUUUUUGUUUCCGGAGGUUAAACGUGAACAGGUGGUGCCUCUUCUGGCCCAAAAACCCACACUAUGUUGCCUAGCAGAGUUUAUGCAAUUUUUGUUUCCUUAGGUUAAGCGUGAACAUAGUGAGGAGGUUAAGCGUGAACAUAGUGUGGAGUUUAUGCAAUUUUUGUUUCCGGAGUUUAUGCAAUUUUUGUUUCAGGCCCAAAAUUCAUCUUCAACCGAUAAUGUAGAACUAACUUGCAUUUCUCCAAGACCAAAGAACCCAUCUUCAAAACCAAUCUUCAACAGAUAAUGUAAAACCCAUCUUCAACAGAUAAUGUAGAUGCGGAACCCAUCUUCAACAGAUAUUGUAAAACAUACAUGCACCCAACAGAUAAUGUAGAUACAAAUUUCAGGAAAAACAUACAUGCACCCAACAGAUAAUGUAGAUGCAAAUUUGAUAAUGUAAAACAUACAUGCACCCAACAGAUAAUGUAGAUGCAAAUUGGAGGAAAAACAUACAUGCACCCAACAGAUAAUGUAGAUGCAAAUUUGAGGAUGUAUAACACAAACACUUGGAGAUGUAAAUUUAUAUAUAAUGCAAAACCUAUCUCCAGAUAAUGUAGAUGCACCCAACAGAUAAUGUAGAUGCAAAUUUGAGGAUGUAUAACACAAACACCUGGAGAUNNNNNNNNNNNNNNNNNNNNNNNNNNNNNNNNNNNNNNNNNNNNNNNNNNNNNNNNNNNNNNNNNNNNNNNNNNNNNNNNNNNNNNNNNNNNNNNNNNNNNNNNNNNNNNNNNNNNNNNNNNNNNNNNNNNNNNNNNNNNNNNNNNNNNNNNNNNNNNNNNNNNNNNNNNNNNNNNNNNNNNNNNNNNNNNNNNNNNNNNNNNNNNNNNNNNNNNNNNNNNNNNNNNNNNNNNNGUAAAACAUAUCUUCAACAGAUAAUGUAGAUGCACCCAACAGAUAAUGUAGAUGCAAAUUUGAGGAUGUAUAACACAAACACCUGGAGAUGCAAAUUUACAUUAUACAGAUAAUGUAGUGUAGAUGCACCCAACAGAUAAUGUAGACGCAAAUUUGAGGAUGUAUAACACAAACACCUGGAGAUGCAAAUUUACAUAUAAUGUAAAACAUAUAUCAGUUGGAGAUGCAAAUUUACAUAUAAUGUAAAAUCUAUCUUAACAGAUAAUAUAGAAUAUGUAGAUGCAAAUUUGAGGAUGUAAAACACAAACACCUGGAGAUGCAAAUUUACAUCUCCAUUUACGGGAGAUGUAGAAUAAGCGGGUGUGUCAAAUGCACGACUGCGUUCAUUUGGCCGCCCGCCGACGGCAUGGCCAACGCUGAUGACUCCAUCGUCUCCACCGCAGCUGGCACGGCCACUUUAUCCAAUCCAGCGUCCACCUCCAUGCCGUCGCCGUCAUAGUGGUGUCCCGGUUUUGCCCCACCCCGACCGCCCGACCGGUCGUGCAACCCGCCAACGAAGAAGCAGCGGGCCACCAAGCCCCGCGAUGGAGGCAUGAAGCGGCCAGCGACGUGGGGGGCAAUCCGAUGUGGAAUGACCAAUAUGGGGCGGCCAAGAAUUUGAUGUCGGACGCGGCUGCGUCAACCAAUCAGCUGUCGCCGGCGGCCUUGGCAUCCGUUUCCGGCCAAGGAGCCCUUCCUCCACCUUCGCCAUUGCCACAGUCGGCCAUGGAGGAAGAUAUAGUCACGCCCACGACCACCGCAUCCAACCUGUUCGACAAAAUGUAGCAAAGGUAAAAAAAUCAUUUAAAUUUUUUGUGAUCUUGUUUGUUCUUUCAAUUUUUGACACGAAUAAAAUGUGAGGUUGAUUACGUGUACGUCCAUUUGUAGUCUUGAUGAUGAACUUUCAUGCGUGCGACAAAUGCGUCAAAUGAUGAUUAUUUCUCUCAAAAGUAUGCAUCACAAGAAUAUAAUGCUCAAUUUGAUGAUGAUAAUCUUGACAUGGGCGAAGAGGGCUUCGUUAUGAAUGGAAGAACCGUAAAUUAUACCAACACUGAAGAUGUGUUGAUUUGCAUCGCAUCUAAAAAGUCUCUCUUGAUUCAUCCGUUGGGACCGACCAAGCCGGGAACACGUAUUGACAACGCAUCGAGGAGUACUUCGAUGAGCGCAACACUAGCGGCCAUUUUCGAUCAAGGGGCUAUUCGUCAACGUUGGGGCACCAUCAACACCGAAUGCCAAAAGUGGGCCGGUUGCUUGGCAAAUGUUGAGCGCAUGAACCCGAGUGGUUGCGGUGAUAGUGACUUGGUAAUCAUUUGCUACAUGUGUGCUUUCUCUACUUUUCGCAAAUAUUCAAAUGCUCCCUAAUUUGAUGAUGACAUCUUGAUUGUUUUCUUGUAAAAAAUUAUUGCGUAAGGAUUAUUUCGAGAGAGGAACAAUAAAAAAGAGAAGAGGAAGAAUAAAGGAAAGGCUUUCCCUUUCCAUAAUUGCUACAAAGAGCUCAAGAAUGAGAAGCGGAAAACUAGAGAAGUUUUUUAUGCUUCAAAAAAGUAAAGCGUGAUAAUGAAGGAUGAAGAAGAUGGCCCCGGAGAGGAGAGAAGGAGCCCCACUCCUCAUCCAGCGACUAAAUCAUAUAGGCCCGAUGGAACUAAGAAAGUGAAGAGUUUCAAAGCCAGAGACAAUGAUCUUAAAGAAGGGUUUGACUUCAUUCUCGUUGCGAGGAAAGAGUAUGCCGAAGAAAAAAAUUAUUGCAAUUAAAAGAAAUCGAGGAGGGCGGAGAAGCGUAGCGGCGGAGGGAGACGGUCGGGGAUAAGAGGGUGGCGGUCGAGGAGAGGUUGGUGGCGGUGAAGGAGAGAAAGAUUGAAUUAGAGGAGAGGAAGGCGGCGACCAAAGAGUACAAGAUGGUGGAAUAGAAGGCACUUAAGUUUAUGUUCAUGGACACAUCUACUCUUGAUCCCAAGGCAAAGGCGUAUGUCGAGAUUUGUUGUGAUGAAAUGAGCAUGAAAAGCAAAUGCUCAUGAGAAACAUGAUGCGAGGAGGAAUGGGAGGUGCCAUGGGAGCCAUGGAUGAAAUGGGAGGUUGCAUGACAGGAGGAAUGGGAGUGGAAUGGGUGGCUACAUGAAUAUGAUGGGAGGUGCCAUGAAUGGUGCAUUUGGUGGCAACAUGGGAGGUGGCUUUGGUGGCAACGUGGGCGGAAAUGAAGGUGGCUUCGGUGGCAACGUGAGUGGAAUGAGAGAUGGCUUCGGUGGCAACAUGGGCAUGGGAAGUGGCAAUGAAGGGGCUUUCGGUGGAGUUCACGACAACGAGACUUCAACUCAUGAAAACGUUGACAAAGAAGCCAUUGACAAUGAUAAUCAUACCAUCGUCCAUAAUGUCGCUAGUGACAAUGGAGAGGAUGAAAAUUGAGUGUUAUGUUUGAUGUUUAUGUGCAUUUUAAUUUGUUGGACCAAGAACUUUGUUUGAGACAAUUCACUUUUCGUUGUAGGAUUUCAAACUUUUGAUUGAUACGCUGCACUUUUAUUGGUAGAAAUCUGAAAUUUAUUGCUAUUUUUAAAUGUUCAAGCGGCGGUACAGCAGCCACGCGGCCAUUAGCAGGUUUUACAUCUUCAUUUAAACUUUUACAUCAUCAAUUUACAUCAUUUGUUGGAGUUGCCUUUUUUGAGAUAUAAAAUGCACUUUUUGUGAUGUAGAUUUUACAUCUCCUAGUUUUACGUCUCUAAAUUUGCAUUUUAUUGAAGAUGCUCUUAAGACACAAAUGUGCUCUCUGACACUAAAACUGGAUAAACCUCCUGAAUGGGUACAGAAUAAAGGAUUGGCUAUAUGUCAGUCAUCUGUUUUUUUUAAGAAAUUUUGGGCUAGUCAAUCUCCCUUCUUUCUCAACCAUUGGAUCAAAAUUCAACGGUUAUCUUCAAUCUCCAGCCGUUGUUUCUCUUCUUCCUCUCUCACCACGCCCGAUCUAGCCUAGGCUUCCGCGACCGACGGCACUCCUGCCUCGCCGCACAGCCAUCCUCUGAAACUCCCCCAUCGUCAGUCUUGUUGUCGCCCCCCGACCAUCCCUCUAAGCCUGACGACCACCUAAAAAAAUCUCCGCCGAAGCAGCACCCCACCCGUCACCCUAAGAUAGAUAGUGAGGUUGCUUCUUCGACGAAUCUACACCCGUCACCCUAAGAUAGAUAGAUAGUGGGGUUAUUCCCCAUCAUCGGUGGCCUUGCCUUCUACUUCUUCAUCUUUAUCGGUGCUUCCUUCUUCAACAUUUGUUAGACAUAUAAAAGGUUCUAAUCUUUUUCUGUUGUACCUUAUAUAGUCACAUCACCAAGUAAUUUGACCAUUAUCUCACCGGAAUUUGUGCCGAGGCCGAACACCGGAUAGCUUGACCAUCAUCUCAUCGGAAUUUGUGCCGAGGGCGUACACCGGAUGCCUCUGGAGGGUACGGUCUGGAUGAACAAUAUGCUCACCCUUGAUAAGGGUUGGGCCCCUCACCGUUUAUCACAAGGUGAUCAUCUUGAACGACAAAUGCGUUUAUCACAAGGUGAUCAUCUUCAACGACAAAAGGCGUUGAGGUGGUGGCCAAGUGUAAGGAGCACGGUGAUACGUCUAUUUUGCAUCAUGUUUUUAUGUUGAUAUUUAUUGCAUAUUGGACUAUUAUUACACUUUAUGAUGGAAUUCUUAUGCCUUUUCUCUCUUAUUUUACAAGAUUUACAUGAAGAGGGAUAAUGCCGGCAAUUGGAAUUCUGGACCGGAAAGGAACAAAUCUGAGAUACCUAUUCUGCACAACUCCAAAUGUCCUAGAAUUUUAUGGAGAAUUAUUUUGGAAUAUAUAAAAAAUAUUGGGCGAAGAAAUAACAGGAGGGGACCCACCAGGUGGCCACAAGCCUGGGGGGCGCUCCCUACCCCCCAGGGCGCGCCUCCCGAGCUUGUGGGCCCCUUGGCCAGCGUCCGGUGCCCAUCUUCUGCUAUAUGAAGUGUUUUGACCUAGAAAAAAAAA